UACGAAGGGGGCUAGCGUUGCUCGGAAUCACUGGGCGUAAAGGGUGCGUAGGCGGGCUUUUAAGUCAGAGGUGAAAUCCUGGAGCUCAACUCCAGAACUGCCUUUGAUACUGAAAGUCUUGAGUACGGGAGAGGUGAGUGGAACUGCGAGUGUAGAGGUGAAAUUCGUAGAUAUUCGCAAGAACACCAGUGGCGAAGGCGGCUCACUGGCCCGAUACUGACGCUGAGGCACGAAAGCGUGGGGAGCAAACAGG
rnacentral:rRNA from 1 species